rnacentral:rRNA from 1 species
AGUUUGAUCCUGGCUCAGGACGACGCUGGCGGCGUGCUUAACACAUGCAAGUCGAACGAGGAUCAUGGAGAGCUUGCUUGAAAUGAUUCGAGUGGCGGACGGGUGAGUAACGCGUGAAUAAUCUGUCCUAUACAGGGGGAUAACGCAUCGAAAGAUGUGCUAAUACCGCGUAGGACCACGGUGGGGCAUCCCACUGAGGUGAAAGGAGCAAUCCAGUAUAGGGUGAGUUCGCGUCUGAUUAGAUAGUUGGUGAGGUAACGGCCCACCAAGUCAACGAUCAGUAGCCGACCUGAGAGGGUGAUCGGCCACAUUGGGACUGAGACACGGCCCAGACUCCUACGGGAGGCAGCAGUGGGGAAUAUUGGGCAAUGGGCGAAAGCCUGACCCAGCAACGCCGCGUGAAGGAAGAAGGUUUUCGGAUUGUAAACUUCUGUCCUAUGUGAAGAGUGAAAGACGGUAGCAUAGGAGGAAGCCCCGGCUAACUACGUGCC